rnacentral:rRNA from 1 species
UCGGGAAUAUUGGACAAUGGGCGAAAGCCUGAUCCAGCAACGCCGCGUGCGGGACGAAGGCCCUCGGGUCGUAAACCGCUGUCAGGAGGGAGGAACGGUGCGUGGUUAAGAGCUGCGUACUUUGACAGUACCUCCAGAGGAAGCCCCGGCUAACUCCGUGCCAGCAGCCGCGGUAAUACGGAGGGGGCGAGCGUUGUUCGGAAUUACUGGGCGUAAAGCGCGCGUAGGCGGACUGAUCAGUCAGGGGUGAAAUCCCGGGGCUCAACCCCGGAACUGCCUUUGAUACUGUCAGUCUUGAGUCCGGAAGAGGCGAGUGGAAUACCGAGUGUAGAGGUGAAAUUCGUAGAUAUUCGGUGGAACACCAGUGGCGAAGGCGACUCGCUGGUCCGGUACUGACGCUGAGGUGCGAAAGCGUGGGGAGCAAAACAGGGAUUAGAUACCCAUGGUAGUCCACGCCGUAAACGAUGAGUGCUAGUCGUCGGCAGGCAUGCCUGUCGGUGACGCAGCUAACGCAUUAAGCAC